rnacentral:SRP_RNA from 1 species
GUGGGGCACAGUGGUGCAUGCCUGUAGUCCGAGCUACUCGGGAGGCUGAGGUAGGAGGAUCGCUUGAGCCCAGGAGUUCUGGGCUGUAGUGCACUAUGCUGAUUGGGUGUCCGCACUAAGUUCGGCAUCAAUAUGGUGACCUCCCGGGAGUGGGGAACCACCAGGUUGCCUAAGGAGGGGUGAACUGGCCCAGGUCGGAAAUGGAGCAGGUCAAAACCCCCAUGCUGAUCAGUAGUGGGAUCACACCUGUGAAUAGCCACUGCAUUCCAGCGUGGGCAACAUAGAGAGAUCCUGUCUCU